AUUGGACGCUGGCGGCAGGCCUAACACAUGCAAGUCGAGCGGGGACUUCGGUCCUAGCGGCGAACGGGCGAGUAAUGCUUGGGAAUCUGCCCAGUAGUGGGGGAUACCGUCCCGAAAGGGACGCUAAUACCGCAUACGUCCUACGGGAGAAAGAGGGGGAUCUUCGGACCUCUCGCUAUUGGAUGAGCCCAAGUCGGAUUAGCUAGUUGGUAGGGUAAUGGCCUACCAAGGCGACGAUCCGUAGCUGGUCUGAGAGGAUGAUCAGCCACACUGGAACUGAGACACGGUCCAGACUCCUACGGGAGGCAGCAGUGGGGAAUAUUGGACAAUGGGCGAAAGCCUGAUCCAGCCAUGCCGCGUGUGUGAAGAAGGCCUUCGGGUUGUAAAGCACUUUAAGCGGGGAGGAAGGUUCGCGGCCUAAUACGUCGCGGAAUUGACGUUACCCGAAGAAUAAGCACCGGCUAACUCUGUG
rnacentral:rRNA from 1 species